GACGUAGGGCGCGAGCGUUGUCCGGAUUUAUUGGGCGUAAAGAGCUCGUAGGCGGUCUGUCGCGUCUGCUGUGAAAAACUCGGGGGCUUAACCCCCGGGCCUGCAGUGGGUACGGGCAGACUAGAGUGUGGUAGGGGGAGACUGGAAUUCCUGGUGUAGCGGUGAAAUGCGCAGAUAUCAGGAGGAACACCGAUGGCGAAGGCAGGUCUCUGGGCCACUACUGACGCUGAGAAGCGAAAGCAUGGGGAGCGAACAGG
rnacentral:rRNA from 1 species